GACCACUUAAUAAACUAGUAUUAACACUGCUUCCACGUAAAGUAAGAUUGCAACAGUCGUGAAACCACAGGGGAGGCGGGAGGAAGAAAGAACGAGCGGCCGGGGGAGAGACGAGAGCAGACAGUGGAGUACGCUAGGCCACCAACAGGUUGGCAGAAAGGGUGGAGCCGUCCACCGGAUUUCAGAUGUGGAUCACCGGCGCCCACAUCGCCCCCACAUAUACUACUCCCCCCCUCCUGACUAGUCCACACGCGCCAAAUCUCCCUCGAAAUCCCGCUUAUCCCAGUCAUUAAGUGGCCAGAAGCACCCAAACCCUAUUCUAUCAAUCUAAUUUUUCUUUUUUGCACUACUAAUUAAACUACCUGAUCAACUUGCAUGCUCGUUUGCUUGGCUCCAUAUACCACUGCACGCCUCUCGUUUCACAUUGCCACGCGCGUUCCUUCGUUCGUAGACUGGUGGCCACUGGAACGGCUCAGGCCUGCAGCUGCAUGUGCCGGUGCAGUUGGGACGACGCCAAGCCAAACCCGCGCGGCGGCCGGGCGCUUAACGCAAGCAACCACCUUGUGUUAGGCAGUUGAUCGAACGCGGCAAAGCUCUCCCAGGCCACAGGAACUCUGCUGCCGUGCCGCCACUUUGCCCUUCGCUGUCGCCGGUGGAGCAAAAAUGUUAGCGUUAGCAGGGAGGAUUGAUCGGUGAACGAAGAACGAACGGUCGUCAAUUAGCUGCGUAAACACGCACGUUCGUGUCGUGGUCGCUGGACGGUGCGCGUGGGGGCAGAAAUUCCAGUUUGCUUUCGGUAAAACCCUGCUACUAAAGAUAGAAAAUAGAAACGAUUUCCGCAGAUAUGCAUGGCUGUGCUUUGGUGUCGCCAUCCAUGGAGUAAGUAAAUAAAGAUACCGAUCGGUCUCAGUUGGAGCGAGGACGGUGCGGGUGUGAACGGAAUUUCACAAUAAACUUCCAGUAAAACCAUAGUAUAUGAACCGACAGAGCAGCGCGCCAUUUGAAAACUCCACCGGCUUAUUUAGCCCGGCCGCGCAGGUCAACAGGCCGUUGGUGGUCAAGUUCAGACGCAACACAAAAACUUGAGCUGCACGUACUACUGGUAGUACUACUACUCCUGGGUAGCAGUCAAGCCAGCCUAACCGGACCGUUUAUUAUUUGUUUUUACGAGAGCCCCGUUGAUUAGUCGUCUGAUGGAUUACUGUUGACGGGCACAUCACACGAGCAAGUACCCGUACCACUGUACCGGGUAGCUUGCCAAGCAACUUUCAUCCAACGAGAAAUGGUUAGGUGCGUUCCACCGAGACUUUCCCCACGGCAAGCAAUUAAGCAAGCAAGCAAGCAGCCACUGGUGCUGGUCAAGACCCGACGCAGCCUAGUGGCCGGCACGCCGGAGGGCGCGGGGCACCCGGCCGCCCGUCCGUCCGCUGAACCUGAACGGCUGAACNNNNNNNNNNNNNNNNNNNNNNNNNNNNNNNNNNNNNNNNNNNNNNNNNNGAACCGCAGCGUCGGUCGCCGUCGGUCGUCCCUGUCUCGCGCGUCGUAACUGCGUCGAUCGGGAGGGGGCGUAGCGCAGUGGCGUACGUAGCAGGAGAUCGAUUCCAAAUCCGGUGCACGGGCCGAUUGGGACCGGCCCGUGCGGGACUCUCGUCGGGUCGAUUCGAUUCGAUUCAACCGGCCGGCCGCCCGCAGUCGUGCAGGCACGGCAACCCGCGGAAUUUCUCCUCUGGGUCUGGGAUAAACCAUUCCCGCAGAACCGGAAGAAAAUGCUGUUAUACUUCCUCCAAAAAGAAAAAGAUCCGCUUGUCUUUUCAACCGAAAAGAAAACGAGGCUGCGAUAAUGUCACCCCCAGUCAAGCACGUCACGGUUGCUCAACAGAUAAAUGGCAGGAAUUGCCGCUUACGUUCGGUAGGAGUAAUGUGCUGAAUAGAAUUCCCUUUCGCCCUCACUUGGCCUUUUUGAUUGGGCGUCCGCCAAUCAGCUUCGCCAGUCGCGCCUCAUGAUUUCCGGGAGGGAGAGUACACACACUGUCCCCGUGACAGUGAGAUCGGUCACUCGACACCGUGAUCUGAGCACCGGCUCCGGUGCGGUGCACUGCACGUACAAAUGCGUCCACCGGGCAGGCCUAAAUAAUUGGCGGGCGGGAAGCCAUGCACGCAUUAUUGGGCGCCACGGACCAAACCAGAGCCGCAGGGGGGAGGAAUUAUUGGGCGCCCACGAUCGAACCGCACCGCAUGUGGGGUGUCCCCCAGCGCGGGGUGGAGCGGAUCGGACGUCCGUCGGGCGGAUCCGACGGCGGUGGGCUGCCGAACACGGGUCGCGGUACACCACUCGUCCGCCCGAAGGGGAUGUGGGAUGGAUAGGGAGGUGACACCAGCAGCGCCGGCUCGGCUUAUAAAUGCGCUCCCCACGACCCCCCCUCCCUCACUGUAUCCACCCCACCACCACCACCACCAUAGAAGCUCAGAGCAGGCAGCCCCUGAAAGAAGGCGAAAAUUGCAGACGGGUCCAGGGAUCGAUCCCCAACACCGGCCGCCGCGAUGGGCAUCUCCAGCAUGCCGGCGCCCAAGGAGAGCCUCCUGAUCUACCUGCUCUACCACGCGGUCGUCUCGAUCGCCGCCCUGGCGGGGCUCCUCCGCGCCGCGCUCGCCUUCCUCGGCCUGCCCACGCCGCCGUCGCUGCUGGCCGGGGAGGACGCGGAUGGCGGCGACCAGCUCACGGCGGCCACCCCGGCCGGCCCCAGCCUGGCCGAGAGGUUCAGGAGCAGGUUCCGCCCGGCGCGCUUCGGCCGGAGGCGGGGCGCGGCGGCGGCGCCUGACUGCCGCGUGUGCCUGGUGCGGUUCGAGGCGGACGCCGUGGUAAACCGCCUCCCCUGCGGCCACAUGUUCCACCGCGCCUGCCUCGAGACCUGGCUCGACUACGACCACGCCACCUGCCCGCUCUGCCGCUCCCGCCUCCUCCCGGCUGUGGCCGCGGCCGCCGACGAGUCGUCGCGGUCGCCGCCGGCCCCCAGCCUGACGGCGUGGAUGUAGAGACGAGUCAAGACGAGACAAGAGAAGAGAGAUUCGCCCCGUCGCCCCCGGCUACGUGCUAGCUCCGUGUGUGGCCUCUCCGUGUGCGCGUAGGAAUUUAGGUCGAUCCUAGCAAAGCAGAGAGGGUGCUCGUUCCCCUUCGCAUCCCUCCCUCCUUUUUUUUUUUGAUUUCGUUUUCUGUAGGCCUCGUGCCGUCGCUGUGCCGUGUACAUAUUUUUCAGCAGAGAGCGCUCCUACGGGUGUAGCGCUUUGUGUGAUGAGAGAUUUGCGUGCAGCCCUUGGCCUUUUUUUUUUACGAGAAACGGAAAAUUGAUGCGAAGAGGAUUGUGUGUUCUUGCUUGCCCUCUUUCUUGGAUGGCUGCCCCUAACCCGUCUCUCCAGAUAUUUAUGAAGAAAGUUACUCUGCUGAUUUUCCUUAUUUUACCCCUUCCCAUGUAUGCCGUUGUAUUACCAAUUUCAGGAACUGGUACGUAAUCUCAACAAGUGUUUAUGAAAUCGGAUCGAUGAUUGACCACUAAUUACGAAACAUGAUCGAUCAAUAAACCGUUACCAGUUUUACCAAAGUGUUCGGGUACUUUGUAGCCUUUAUUAAACCAGAUCAAGAAACCACUAAUACCAGUUUUACCAAAGUGUUCAUCAAACCAGAUCAAGAAACUACUACUACUAAUAUUAACAAAGUGUUCAUUAAACCAGAUCAAGACACCACUACUAUUCAGGCAAUUUUAACGAAGUGUUCAUUAAACCAGAUCAAGAAACCACUACUAUUCAGGUAAUUUCUAGCGUUUAUUAAAGCAGAUGAAGAAACCACCACUGCUAUUUUUUCCCGGGCUCCAAACAAACGGCAAGGGAAUCUCCACUACUACUAAUCAGGUCAGGAGUAUUAAACCAAGUGGGGUUGGUUGAGUGAUCGAUUAUUUCUUGGGGUGGCGUUGCGGGUAUCCCCGGAGCAAUUAGGCGAGGAGUGGAGGGCGGGGGGGACAAGGCGCUGAAAGGCACGGCAACGGCAGCGGAUUGUUUAUGCGCGCGGGGGCGGGUCACAUGGAUUACGGAUACGUGCUUAUCAACGUGGCCCCACUUGGCUGCGUCCGCAUCGCCGAUGGCACAUGCCGCCAAUCUUGCGCGUCCCUCCAUCGGCUCCUUGUCGUCACGGCCAAGGGCCCUUUUUCUGAAGUUUUUUUUUAAGCUCCUAGGUCCCUUUUGUUAUACUACUUUUUUUCACCCCUGCCCUGCAACCCCACCAAGUCAUUCUUCUUUGAGAUUAAUGCCUUGAAAAAUAUAAUUUUUUUGAUAGGGAGAAGUUUUGAGGGAUUAAGUUUAGGGCAGCUGCCAUGGAUACCUUUGAGAGGCCUUCCUAAAAGUCAAAAACUCACCCUUUAUCUAAAAAAAUCAAAUUGUUUAGGGGUUAAAUAAUAUCUGGGCUAGCACGAUCCCCUGAACUUAAUCCCUCAAAAAUAUCCUUUUGCCAAUUCAUCCAACCAUUUUUAAACUUUAUCACAAUAUACUCAUUUAAUACUCGAGAGUUCAGGUAUACAUAUUCAAUUCAUAGCAUAGCAAGUUUAUUAUUCUCAAACAUAACCACAUAUAUUUAAACAAUACUAUAGUCCAAAUGAACUAAGAAUCGAGACAAACAUGAUAAAAGCACAAGAAUCAAGUGCUAUGAAAGCGCUAAUGUUGCUCAAUAAGGUAUCCUUGAAGUUUUUUGUGAGCUUGACGAUUGGUGUUCUUCGAGGAAGGCUUUGAUCCUGUUUGGGUUAUGUUAUGGACCCAUCGAUGGCCUUUGAAGAGAUACCGAAAGUCAUGUGAGUCGUCUAUUUCAUCAUUGAUGAUUAUGUUAUGCAAUAGACACAUGUUGUCAUGUUAUCCCACAAGGUCUCACGCUUUUGCGACAGGGCCAGGGCAUCGCGGAAGCACAGCAAAUGUUCUCUCAACAUCCUCUCUAAGAGAUCCUCGCGUACUUGUAAAGUGGAGUGUCUUGUUACAUUUAGGACGAAGGACUAUCUUCACAAAUGUGGCCCAUGAAGGAUAGAUGAUGUCGGCUAGGUAGUUUCCCAUGUUGUAUUCAUUGCUAUUGACAACAUAACUCCAAGAUGGACUGUUGUCGGCAACAAGCAAUGCAAAAAAGAGGAGAUAACUAGAGAACACUAAGAUCUUUCUAAGAGCCUAACAUCGAGAGUAUGGGUGUGAAAUCUAGAGAAUAUGUGAUGCAACUGCCUCAACAAUAAUAGUUGGAUGAUUACAAUGCCCUAUAUAAUGACCUUACCAUGACACAAGACAAUUCUUUCAUCUCCAAUGCAUACAGUCAAUUGAUCCAACAUCCCUGGCCAACCUUGUAGCACCCUACGAUUCGCACUAUGCAGAUCUAGCAACCUCAUGUAGCCUCCCUAUAAUUUUGAUCCUGAGGAACCACCUUUACACAACAUACACAUGGAAAUGCUCACGCCAUGUGGGGGAAGGGUCGACAUUAGAACAUAUAUAUAUAUACACAACAACUCUCAGCAACCGAUUUAAAAGAAAUGAGUGUGAUAGGGAUCUUUUGACCAAGAUACAACUCAUAUAACAUAAGCAGACUAUACCUUAGACGGGUAAGAAUACAAAUGCCUUAAGAAGGCUUUAAAGAAAAAGCAAAGGCGAAAUCACAACUUCUCCCUAGAUGGUUUUGGUAAAUAACUACAACAUAUAGUUCAUUGAACUAACAAGCCUAUCAAGUAUAUUUCAAGAAAAUUUUAGUGCUUAGAUUGGCUAGGACUCGGUGAGGAACCCCUUGGAUAUAAAAGAUUCAUAUUGGAAAAAGCUUCAAGACUCUACAUUUUGCUUUUAGUGAUUUGAUCACAUUGAGUCCAUAGGAAAGCCAAUACAAUUAAAAGGGGAUGAGGUACUGAUGUUGAUAUGGUUGCUCAAGUGCUUAAAGAUAUGUCACCAUAAGCCUCAAACACUUCCUCACAAAAGAUUAUGCCCAAAACCCUAAACUACCCAAAUCGGUGGUACCAUGUUUUUCACCUCGGUCUCACCGAGUUAGCCUCAGACACAACCCUUAGCCAAACCCUAAUUUUCUCGGUGCAACCAAGAUUGCAUUCGGUGGAACCGAAAAGUGGCGACCAAGUUUCUGUGAUUGAGUUUUGAAGUUUUGGAAUUCCGGAGAUUUAGUUCUCGCCGUCACUGUGGUGAUGGAAAUUCCCAGGUUAAGCCGACUCUAUCUCACCGUGAAGUUUUCUUCAGUCUCCCCGAAAAGCCCAAAGUUAGGACUGUUUGUACUAGUCGGUAGCACCGAGAUUUCUCUUCGGUGUCACUGAGUUGGGCAAUAAUGUUGUAAUUAUAUGAUUUUGGGUGAAGGCUAUAUAUACCCCUCCACCAUCCUCUCACUCAUAGAGAGAGCACUCAGAACGAACCAACACUUCCACCAUUCAUUUUUUGAGAGAGAACCAUGUGUUGAGAUCAAGAUAUUCCAUUCCUACCAUAUGAUUCUUGAUUGUAGCCUCCCCAAGUUGCUUUCCACACAAUCAUCCUCUUCUACCAAGCCAAAUCCUCACAGAGAUUGAGUGUUAAGGAGACUAUGUUUUGAAGCACUAGAGCAAGGAGUUCAUCAUCUACACACCAUCUAUUACCUUUUGGAGAGUGGUGUCUCCUAGAUUGUUAGGUUUUGCUCGAGAGCCUUCAAACUGUAAGGGCAAGGAGAUCGCCUACUUUGUGAAGAUAUACCCUGAGUGAGGCUAGUGCUUCAUGGACAUAAGCCAUGCUGGAAUAGGCAAGAUUGCUUCUUCGUGGACCCUUCGUGGGUGGAGCCCUCCGUGGACUUCCACAACCGUUAUCCUCCAUGAAUUGAAGUCUCUAUGAACAUGUACGUACGAUAGCAUCAUCUAUCGAAAUCACGCAAAAUAAUCUUUGUGUUUUCAUUACGUUUGAUCUUCCUAACCCUCCUUUACUCACACUUGCAAUGUCAUUACUUUUCGCCGCAAAACUUGUAAACUUGCAUGUUUAGGGUGUACUAGACUUGGUAAAAUGGCUACAACUUGUCAACCAUUAAAAUUGAGAAGAUGUUAGUUUUAAUUUGAUCAAGUAGUCUAAUCAUCCUCUCUAGACAUAAUUUCGAUCCUACAAGUGGUAUUAGAGCUUUGGUCUCUAAGCCCGAGAAAUGCAAACGAGUGCACAUGGAUGAUCAUGCGAGGUAUUUCUCGCUUACAUUAUGUAACUUUGGCACUAUAGGUCAGGCCUAGUACUAUAGUUGCUUAUACGCGAGUAUUUUGAUGUAUUUUUUUUUGUUUAUUUUACAGUUUGCAAUAGUUUUCUUUGUUUCUUUUAAUAUCUCUUCUUCUUUAGGUUUCUUUGUUUAUUUCUUCAGUUUUCACCUACUAUUCUAUUUUUAUUUAUUUUUUAUUUUCAACUCGGCUCUAUUUUUCUAAUUUUAUACAUUAAGAACAUUUAUUUAUACAAAUUUGGUAUUGUUUAUAUCCAUGUUUUUUUUCUAAUAUAUGUUUUGAUGUGAUUUUUCAAAUGCAUUAUACAUUUAAAUAUUUUAUAGAUAUUUAUGAAAAUUUAAGUACAUGAUGUACAUAUUUUUCAAAUAAAUGUUUUUUAUUUUUUACCACGUGUUAAUCAUUUUGCAAAUAAAAUUUGAAUUUUUAUGAAUGAUAGAUAACAAUUUUUGAAAUGAGCACACAUUUGUUUUUCCAUUUUAUACCUUUUUGAAGUGUCACAAACAUAUUUUGAAAUGUGUAGAGAUUUUUUAAAUGUAAAAUAAAUUUUUUGAAUGGUACACAACUUUUUUUUGAAUUACACGAACCUCUUUUCACAUUGUAUAAUACAUGAAAAUUUAAAAUGUCAUGAACAUCAUUUCGAAUGCUAUCAACAUUUUAAAACUACACUAAAAAAACGUUUGCACUCCGUUAACAUUUUUCAAAUUUACGGUGAACAUUUUUAAAAAAAAUAGGACGUUAACUAUUUUGGAAUAUAUGCAUUUAUAAUAUAUUUUUAAUAUAUAGAAACGAAAAAAAACUAUUGCCCAUAUACGCUCACCCAUGAGGUAAGGUGGACAUUGCCACCCGAAAAACCAAACCAGAACAGCCCCAACAUGCAGGGCCGAGCUCAACAAAGGGACAACCUGGGCCCUGGAAACGGAACCUACACGCGAGGAGAAGCAAAUGCAAGGCGAGACUGUUGGUGGCAUAGCCGCAAUGGAGGAAGACAUACACGGUGGAACGUUGAGACGACAGACACCUAGUAGCAUCGAAGCCACACCAACCUGAAUAAUUCAGCCUUUCAGAAAAAAACUGAAUAACGCCGAACCAUUUGCUAAACAAUAAGAAUUCCACGUCAAAUACUGCAAGUGUACAUGUUGCCCCCAUGAUGUAUAUACUUAUUGGAAGCUUCAAAAGAUUUUUCAGAUCUGCUACUGAAUAGAUUACUGCUUACACAGAGUGUGGUCGUUUGUACUCUUGUAGGGAGCCAUGCUAUUGUAUGUGUACGGCACUGUCUUCUACCAUUUGAAUACUCGGGCCUUCGCUGCUUGCUGGGCCUAGCUAUGUCCUUGCUAUUUUUCUGAUUUUGGAUUCUGCGGGUGGUGGAAGAAGCCGUCACGCAAUCAGGGAGAGGAUAACGGCAAGUGUAGAGACCUGGAGUGCGAUGCUUGCGUCUACGGUGGCUUGUUACCUUCCAUCAAAUUGUCCCUAAAUUUCCACUUUUGUGGACUUGUGAGGCACGAUUUUGUCAAGGGGAAAAGGUGCUUGGGAAUGGCCGGUGACGAAAACGGUGCAGAGCAGCCAACUGAAAAUCAGUUGGCAAGCAUCAGCCGCCUCACGCCAGACGUCCUGCGCGAGAUACUUCUCCGGCUUCCGGUGAGCACUCUACAGAGACUCCGCAGGGCGUGCCACCAAUGGCGCGGCGUAGUCAGCGACCCCUGCUUCAUCAUGGAUCAUGCCAAUCGUCGUGCACCCGAGCACCUCCUCCUUUUCCUGCCAAGGCUGGACGCCUCGGCAAGCUUCAAGACCGCCAUGCCUGGCCGUGUGAAGCUCUUCGACAAAAAAUGGUCGGUGUCAUCGUGGGCGGCGGCGUCCUUGGACCCCGACGACCACCUCUUCGCUACGGCCUGCUCUGCUUCUACCGGAGAUACACGCUGAAGAUCGUCAGCCCCGCGACCGGCCCGCGCCUGCAUCUCUAGAAGCCCGACGGGAGAUCGUUCCGUGACCUGUACUGUUAGAGUUAAUGGGCUUGACCCAUCUACAAAAUUCUGAAAUCUUAAAUUCAGCCCAUGAAUAAAAUGGCAAAUUGUGGUUUGAUGGUGCUAAAAUUUAGUCUCAUACCGUUAGUGGAGAAAGUGUUGGACCUCUUUAUAUAGUGAGUCUCUCCACCACUCUAAAUGUGUGUUGAGAAGAGAGGAGAGAAACACACGUGCACGCUUGCUCGCCUCGUCGGGCAGGGGGCCUUCUCCCUCCACCAGGUUCCUGAAUCCUCAUAGUACAAGCAUGUCUUAUCCUCUUGCUCCUUCCUCCACUUCCUUCCCUCCCCCCUCUCUUCUUCCCUCUCCUUUUUCCAUGCUCUCCCACACACCGCCCUCCCGCGCCCUCUACUGUCUCCCUCGAUAUCGCGCCCGCCGACGUCGCCCGCCACCGCCUGCCGAGGUAGCUCCUUCCUCCACUUCCCUCCCACCCUCCUUCCUCCACUUCCUUCCCUCCCUCCUCCCUCCUCCUCCAGUUCCACCCUCCCUCCUCCCUCCACUCCCCCCCUCUCUUCUUGUAGCGGAUAAGAUUGUAUAGGUUUUUAAAAUAGAACAGAAUAGGUUUGAAUAUGUUGAUGUAUCGAAAUGUAUUGGAAUACAAUAGAAUGUAGAAAUUUUUAGGUAUAGAAGUUUUUAGUAAAAAAUAGGUAUAAAAGUUUUUUAGUAAACAAAUUAGGUAUAGGAUUUUUAGUAAUUAUUAAGUAUUAGAAAAUUUAAUUAUUUUUCGUGGGGGUGAGCUAAAAUUCCACCUCCUCCUUCUCUUCUCCUCGUACACGUGUAUGAUGAUAUGUAGACUUGUGUAUUGCUUGUCUAUUUGUACAAGUGUGUAUGAUUUUGUAGGGAAUACCUUUGAGUGGCCUAUGUUUUUCUGGAAUGUUGAUGCAUUUUCUUUCCAGCAAAUUUUAGGCGCUCGAUAUGUCUUGUUUGUAGAAAAGGUCAUCGCGAAUUUUUUCGUGGAUUUUGACAUGACUUGUGCUAGAAAGUAGGAAAUAUAGGAUGCCCGUGAUUUGGUAGAACAGGAAUUAGAUGACAUUCCAGCAAAAUAUAGGCCAUUUUUAUGUCAUUACUCCAUCAUUGCAAUAUUAAUUGACUUAUGCUUAUUACUGUACUUUAGUGUGUCGAAGCUCCUUGUGUGACUUCCUGUAUGUUCUUGAUGGAGGAAUACCGACUGUUGUCGUGGGGGUCACUUCCUCUUCUUCUCUUCUCAUGAUAUAUAUACCUUGGUAUAAUGCACGAGAGAGGGAUAGGAAGCGACCAGCACCGACGGGCGAAAUAUCAGAGGAAGAAUCUCGACUGUUGUCGUGGGGGUCGCUUCCUCCUUCUUCCCCGUAUGCUACACAUUUUGGUAAUGCACGCAGGGACAAAGGGAGGAGCGGCCAGCACCGACAGUCGAAAUUUCUAUCAAGAGGAGUGUCCACCAAACACUACUGGAAAACAGUUAUUUGCCAUCUGCUGCUUCUUUGCCGUCUGCUGGCUGAUGGCAAAGACCCUCUUUGCCAUCAGCUACCAGAAACCAGACGACAAAGAGCAGGCUGAUGCCAAAGGUACUAUUUGCCAUCAGCCAGCUCUUUGCCGUCUGCCAGCUCACGACAAAGAGCAUUCAGGCACACGGCAAAGAGCAUGGGCGGCCCACCCCGCAGCCCCUCUCUCCCCCUAACGGCCUUUCUCUUUGUCGUCCGCUUUUCUCUUUUGUGUCGUCGGGAGGCGAACGACAAAGAGGGUGCCCCCCAACGGCCGUUAGCCCCACCCCCACGCGCCUCUCUCUCCCCCUAACGGCCACCCCGACACCCCUCUCUCUCACCCCCGACACCACCACCGCCUUCACGCCCUCCUCCGGCCUCCCUGCGCUGCCGCCCCUCCUCCUCUGGCCUCCCCGUGUCCCCUCCUCCUCCGGCCUCCCCGUGUCCCCUCCUCCACCGCCGCACCCUCCUCCUCCCCGGUCGCCCUGCCCCCUCGGCCUCCCCGUGUCCCCUCCUCCACCGCCGCACCCUCCUCCUCCCCGGUCGCCCUGCGCCCUCCUCCUUCCCGGCCGCCCUGGACCCUCCUCCUCCCCGGCCGUCCUGCGUCCUCCUAUCCCGGCCGCCCUAAGCCCUCCUCCUCCCCGACCGCCCCGCGCCCUCCUCCUCCCCGGCCGCCCUGCGCCCUCCUCCGCCCGGCCGCCCUGCGCCCCCUCCUCCACCGCCGUCUCCUCCACCGCCGAACCCUCCUCCUCCCCGGUCGCCCCCUCCGGUGAGUCCUUUUUUUUUUCUUUUUUUUGCUAAUUUAUAGAAUUAGUUUUGUUUUGUUAAUUAGUGGUUGCUAGAUUAUUGUUAGUAGUUUUAGUGGUAGAUUUAGUUAGGUUAGUAGUUUUAGUUAGGUUAGUUAGUUAGCUUGGUUAGUUAGGUGGAGGAGGAGGAGAGGAGAAGAGGAGGAGGAGGAGGACGAGAAGAGGAGAAGAAGAAGAGGAGGAGGAGGAGGAGGAGGGGGAGAAGAAAAAGAAGAAGAAGAAGAAGAAGAAGAAGAAGAAGAAGAAGAGGAGAAGAAAAAAAAAAUAAGAAGUAGAAGAAGAAGAAGAAGAAGAAGAAGAGAAGAAAAAAAUAGGAAGGAGAAGAAGUAAAGAAGAAGAGAAGAAGAGAAUAAGAAAAAAAUAAGAAGGAGAAGAAGAGAAAAAAGAAGAAGAAGUUGAUUUUUUAUUGUUUGGUAUUUAGUGGUAGCUAGAUUCUUUUUUAGUUACUUAGUGGUAGAUUCUGUUUUUUUGCUUUUUAGUGCUAUCUAGGUUUAGCGAUAGGUUUAGUUAGCUUGGUUAGUUAGGUUAGUUAGUUAGUUAGCUUAAUAGAAAGAAUAGGAAGAAGAAGAAGAGGAGGAGGAGGAGAAGAGGAGAAGAGGAGGAGGAGAAGAAGAAGAAGAAGAGGAGGAGGAGAAGACAAAAAUAAGAAGGAGAAGAAGAAAAGAAGAAGAAAAGAAGAAGAAAAGAAGAAGGGGAACGCUACGCGUCCGCUCGAGGAUUUUUCAAAAUUAUCCGUCACCUAGCUAGCCGUCGGAUGCCGAUCUAACGUCCCGCGUCCCCGCCGCAUGGCCAGUAGUUAUUUCCUGAAACGACGCUCGAGUUGCGGAAACUUUCGCUUUGUUGCAGGAUCCGUUAAUUCCUGAAACAACGGUCGAGUUUCAGAAACAAUUUGCUUGUUGCAGUUUUUUUUCUUCGUCUUUCUGUAACAUAGGUAUUUUUACGGAAGAAUUUUCUGCAACAAUGGUCGAGUUUCAGGAAUUUUUGCAACAAAGGUCAAGUUGUGGAAUUUUUUUCGUCUCUCCCUUCUCCGAUCUGACGCCGCCGCUGCCCCACCAACCGGCCGCAGCACGCGCCCCGGCCCCCGCCCGCCCGCCCGCCACACUCGCGGCAGGCAGCGCGGCGGCGGCCAUGCCCCAGCUCGCCCAAGGUGUUCUCCUCCUCGGCGGCCGCAGCCUCUGACGCUCCGCCCCUGCAGGAAAUCCAUGGUCUCCCCUUCCUCACGCGUCGGAGGGGACGCAGCAGGCCGGCGGCGGAGGGGAGGCCCAGCCUGUGGCGAGCACAGGAGCGCGUGGGCAUAUUGCGGCGACCUGCUGGCUCGUAAGAGCAGUGGCGUUGCGGGAGCUUGAGGUGGUGGUGGCCAUGCCAUGCUGCAGGAGCUGGGAAAAGGAGCUGGUUGAGAAGGAGAUAAGAAGGAUUUAGCGGUGCGAGGGACACACGUCGCGUGAUGAAGGCGACGGACGCCCAGUGUUUGAUCCGCCGGAUGAAAGGAAUACUUUCCCAAAGAAGAAGAGAAGAAGAAGAGAAAAAGAGAAGAAGAAUACCUUCUCCUCCUCCUUCUCCUUCUUCUUGAUUUCUUCUUCUUCUUCUCCUCCUCCUCUUUCUUCUCCUCUAUCUUAUUCUCCUCACCUUAUUUUCCCCAACAAUGAGAUAAUUAGCCCAUUUAGCUACAAAAUGGCAUAAAAACCUUGGUUAGCUCAUGAAUAUUAUAUUCUUAACUUGUUUUCCUCUAAAAUGACAUAAUUAGAAUAUUUGUGUUGAUCGGGUGGAUUUACAUGUGAUAGUUGUAUCCCCGCUGUGAGGUCUGCUGUGUGAAGACCUGUCCGUGCGUUGUACGAGCUCCGCCCGUGCAUUUGUGGGUCAGUACAAAUUUCAUCUCCUCCCCGCCCCUUCAUUUACUGUGGCUCGGUUUCCGGAUGAAACUUUCUAGAUUUAGGUAAUUAAAUUAAUUUAUCAGUAUGCGUGACCAGUAUGUGUCUCCCGUUCGAAAGGGCGACAUCUAUAAAUAUGCAUGUCAUUGCAUAUUUAGAACCGCCAUCCUUUCGAAUUGUCCAACAUUAUCCAUGGACAGCCCUAGUAUGUGUAGAUUGGGUUCGUUUUCCCGUAUGCUGUGCUCUGGAUCCGAUGCGGAAUUUCGUUAGUGCCUCCCUGUUGUUCUCCAGAUGCACAUCCUCUCUGUUUAUUGCAGAGACGUGUAUCAGGAGAACAACGGGGAGGUGCUGCCGAAAUUUUGCGUUGGAUCCGGAGCAGAGCAUGGGAAAACGAACCCAAUCUACACAUACUCGGGUGGGAUUAGGACCUAUCUUUACCUAUUAGCGUGUAGGUUGCCUGGACGUAAUAAAAAUGGCGAACCUGAUUAACCGAUGAAUAUAAAUGCUAAAUUAUAUAUAAAUAUAUUUGUUCUGUCUUUAGUAGCUGCGCAAGAUGAGUGAUCGUGCGUGGAUGUAUACUGGUCACCCUAGUCAGAAAGAGAUGACGAAAGAAUGGUUUGUAAAAACAAAGGAAUUUGUGAAAGCCGCAUUCGCAAAUGGCCAGGAAAGAAACUAUUGCCCCUGUCCUCGAUGCGACAACUAUAAAAAGACGACAGAGGCUGUAAUGAUUAAACACCUGCAGAGGAGGGGUUUUAAGCCUAAUUAUACGGUGUGGACAUUUCAUGGUGAGUCUAUACAACGCACAAGAGCUGAGGUGGUCCAUCGUCGCACGGACGAGCAUGGUACCGGGAUCGAAGACAUGGUGCAAGACUUUGAUGAUGCUCGGGAUUCGGAAGAUGAGAUGGAGGAAUCUGCAAAGGCCUUUUAUGAAAUGUUGGAGUCUUCAAAACGUCCUCUCCAUGAGCACACUGAGCUCUGUCAGCUGGAUGCAAUUGCACAAGUAAUGGCUCUGAAGGCUCAGUUCAACUUGGGAAGAGAAUGCUACGGCGCGAUGAUGACACUAUUUGGACGCUUCCUACCCAAAGGCCAUGUCAUGCCUGCAAACCUGUACCAGUCGGAAAAAAAUACUUCGUGUACUUAAGAUGCCCUAUGAGAAGAUAGAUGCAUGUGAGAAAGGAUGUGUCUUAUUUAGGAAGGAGUAUGCACACUUGGACUAUUGUCCCAAUUGCGAGUCUUGCAGGUAUCUUGUGGUAGACAACGGUAUGGGUGAGAAGAGGCAGACCAAAAUCGCAGUUAGUGUUCUUCGGUAUAUGCCAAUCGUACCAAGACUUCAACGUCUUUUCAUGGUCGAAGAGACAACCAGACAGAUGACAUGGCACAAAUUGGGCAAAAGAACCGAACUAGAUGCGGAUGGGAAUAAGAUGAUGGUACACACAUCGGAUGGGGAAGCGUGGAAAUAUUUCGAUGGAUUGCAUCAGGAUAAAGCGGCAGAUCCAAGGAAUCCUCGAGUCUGCGCCGCCACGGAUGGUUUUAAUCCCUUCGGCAUGACGGCAACCCAAUACAGUUGUUGGCCUGUAUUUGUCAUUCCACUCAAUCUCCCCCCGGGCAGAUUAUGCAAAGAAAGAACAUAUUUCUGACGUUGAUAAUUCCAGGGCCCAAUUAUCUGGGGAAGAAUAUGAAUGUGUACCUGCAACCACUUAAGGAUGAAUUGGAAGAAGCUUGGGAUAAUGGGGUCAAUACAUACGAUGCCGCUAUAAAAGAAAACUUCAAAAUGCAUGUGUGGUACAUGUACUCUAUGCAUGACUUGCCAGCGUAUGCGCUAUUCUCUGGAUGGUGUGUGCAUGGAAGGUUCCCGUGCCCCCAAUGCAAGGCAGCUCUUCAGUGUUAUUGGUUGCAGGAGGGUCGGAAGUAUUCUUGCUUUGACUUGCAUAGACAGUUCCUCGAUCUUGACCAUCAGUUUAGAAAAGACAAGAAGAACUUUACCAAAGGUAAAGUUGUCAAAAACUUGGCACCACCUGCGUUCACAGGCCAACAGAUCCAGGAUCGGUUAAACACCCUCGAGCCUGAUCGAGAGCGUCCAGGGUAUUUCAAGGGGUAUAAUUCAAAACACACCUGGACUCACAAGCCAUGCUUCUGGGAUCUGCCUUACUUCAAAGACCUCCUUCUUCCACACAAUAUCGACAUGAUGCACACUGAAAAGAAUAUCGGAGAGGCUAUUUUUGGUGCAUUGUUCGACAUAGAUGAGAAGACAAAGGAUAAUAUUCAGGCUAGAGUCGAUCAAGAGACACUAUGUCAUAGACCGUUACAAAACAUGCGAUAAGGCAAAGGAAAGUAGAAGUGGUCGAAGCCAAAGGCCUCGUUCAAUCUUGGAAGGCCAACUAUGAGGGAAAUUAUCUUGUGAGUCAAAAUGCACUUGAUGUUCCCCGAUGGGUAUGCAGCGAAUCUAAAGAGGGGAGCGAGUCUUGAAAAAUUAAAAAUCUUUGGUCUCAAGAGUCAUGAUUGGCACAUAUGGCUAGAGCGGGUAAUGUCGGUGAUGUUACGUGGCUUUAUUCCUGAGGAUGAAUGGCUAGUACUGGCGGAGCUGAGCUAUUUCUUCCGUGUUCUUUGUGCGAAAGAAUUGUCGCCUGGCGUGGUAGAAGACAUGGAGGAGUUUGCACCGAAGUUGUUGUGCAAGUUAGAGAAGAUCUUUCCACCGGGCUUCUUUAAUCCAAUGCAACAUUUGAUUUUACAUCUACCGACCGAGGCAAGAUUGGGUGGGCCCGUGCAAGAUCGUUGGUGCUAUCCAACUGAGAGGAUGCAGAAGACCCUUCGAUCUAAAUAUAAAAAUAAGCGUAGAAUUGAAGCAUCGAUGGCUGAGGCAUUCAUUACUGAGGAGGUGGCAAACUUUGUGACAGCACACUACGAAGCCAAAAAACAUCAUUUGCAUAAUCCGAAGCCUUGGCACAAUGAUGCAGACCCUAAAAAAGGUGGGUCCAACCUCAGCCUAUUCAAAGGGAAGCUCGCACUAGCCGGUGCUUCGAAACCAAUAACGUUGGAUGUCGAAGAAUGGCGGAACAUUUCGUUGUAUAUCUUCAAAAACCUAACAGAAGUGCGGCCGUACAUCGAGUGAGUUCUCGGCACAUUUUCUCGUAACUUCUAAUUCAUUUGAACUGCUCUUAUUCCCGGAUAUUUCAAACAGCCGUUACGUCGCCAAAUUCUCGGAUGGAACGGUGAUCAAAAAUGAUUCCGUCGAAGAGUAUGAGCUUCUGUCAAAGACAGGAGGCGGCUAUUCCGGUUUCAUCUCUUGGUUCAAACAAACGGUAAUUAUCAAUAAUGGACCAUUUCAUUCUUGGUCUAACUUGCGGCUAAUGCAACAAUCGUUUUGUAUUAAACUUGUAGGCUAAUUCAGAGUCUAUGGACGUCGAAUUGAGACAAGUCGCUAAUGGUUUUGAAUAUAAGGUCCGUUCAUUUGAGAAAUACAACAUCAACGGGUAUCUCUUUUGUACCUCUGGCAAAGAGCUAUCUAUGCCCGACCGGAAAUCUACAAAUUGUGGUGUCUAUGCUAUCGGCGAAGGUGUUAUCGAGUAUUAUGGAAGAGUUGAAGCAAUUUAUGAACUUCAAUUCUAUGGUGAAAACCCACCGAACGUCGUAGUCUUCAAAUGUUAUUGGUUCCAGCCGAAGAAGACUAGAAGGACUCAUGAACAUAUAGGACUAGUCGAAAUCAAUCCAAACACCCAUUUAGAUGUUCCCAAUGUCUAUAUUACGGCUCAACAGGUGACCCAAGUUUUCUAUCUACCGUGGGCAUGCCAAACGGAUAAGAAUCUGGAAGGCUGGUAUGUUGUUUAUGAAGUGCCGCCACAUGUCAGACCACCUCUCCCAAAUGAACAGGAUUAUGAACCUCACAUUAAACCAGACACAUAUGAUGGAGAAUUCUUCCAAGAAACACGUCUUUCCAAGAAAUGUUUCAAGAACCGCCGUGCUUCACCCAAGAACAUGGAAGUAGACAACGACAAUGAAUCCGACUCCAGCCCUGAGCCGGAACCAGAAGACCUGGAACUCGUAGAGGUUACUGAUGCGGAUGACCUGUCCAUUUGAAAAUAUUAAGCCCAUUUUAGGAUGGUUUGGCUCAUAAAGUGUCAUAAUUGUAACUAAAGUUGCAAAUUGCAUGUGUGUAUGACUGUAUGGGACAAAAGAACUUACCAACAUGAGCACUGCCAUGAAACUACUUGGAAAGGACUCCAAUACAAUCCUGCAUAACUAUGAAACAUAUUCAUUUGAUCAAGAGGUGAAAUUGAAAUUUCCAUUUUCAGCCGAGAAAAUCAAAUUGCAUUGAACCAUAGAACCGGAGCAGAGAUAAUCAUAAGAAGGACAGUGAUUCCGUAAUCAUAACACCUCACCUUUGCGACAUCAAGAUGCUAGAAGUCCAUGGCGGCCACCGCGACCUUCUCGUAGAGCGUCCAAUCUGCAUGCAUGCAAAGAAAGCGACCUCAUGUUCAGUAUUGGAGCCAAGAGCGCGAAGAGAGAUCAACAACCGAGAAAGCUGGCGUUCUGGCAACAGUCCCGGGCGCAAAAGCGCAACGAUUCCAGUUCAGCAGAUGGGAUCUCGGAAGAGAGAGGCAGAUCGGGAACGUGGGGGAGAGAUAUCUGGCCAGAGGCAGACCGUGAUAUCUAUCUAUCUAUCCCGCCAGCGGCCCGAUAUUGCAGGCGGGGGAGGGAUGGAGGGGGGUCAGGAGGAAGAGCGACGUGACGUACGUUCAAAGGCGAGGCGGGAGUGGGCGGAGGCGUCGUUGAGGAGGGAGAGGCCCAGGCGUAGGACGGGGGCGGGGUGGCGCGCACGGAGCCUGCAGGCGAGGGAGAGGUAUUCCCAGGCGCCGCCUCCGCCAUGCUCCGCCUUCUCCUCCAGCCGCAGCAGGUGCGCCUCCUCCUCCGCCGCCGUGGUUGGGUGAACGAUGGCGUAGAAGCGGGAGGUGGUGCUGAGGACGAGGCCGGUGUUGGGGCACUCUAGCACCAGGUACCCUCCCGCCACGAGCACGUUCCCCGGCACCGAUGCGACCCUGAAGACACACGAUCGAGCGGGGUGAGAUGACUAGAUCGGGGCCCGACAGCGGAGGCAGGCACGGAGAGAGGCAGAUGCAGAGUCCAGCAGAGUAGGCAAAAUCUAGCAGUGUCCGAGGACUCACACUUCCAUGGCCUUCCCCUUCUUAGCGACUGGAGUGGAGUGCGGUGCGGCGGUUGUGUGGCGGGCGAGGAGGAGCGCGAGGCUCGGGUGGCACUCCACAUCCACUGGUCGCGUCGUAGGAGAGGCACCGACAAAGGGGGCGACUCGGACAGGAUGAGAUGGUGCAAGGGAGGAUGGCCGGGGCUGGGCCUGGGGGUGGGGACCUGCCGGUGGCGGAGGGAUCUGCCCAUAGCGGCGAUCUGGAUCUGAGACAGGGAGGAUUUCUAAGAAAGGAACGAGGCACUAGAUCUGGAUCUGGAUCUAGAGACUGAGGGAGGUGGGUGUGCCUCGCGCGUGCGUUUAGGAAAGGUGAGCGAGAGACGGUGGAUCCACGACAGGUAUGGACGGCUCACAUCGACUAAAGUGGUGGGGGGGGGAGGGGUUGAUCCGUGGGGUGCCUCGUGAUUGACUCGAAACGUGAGGUUUUUAAAAUUAUGCUUUAGUGCUAAAAUAGGGUGUUUUAUGAAGCAGCUAUCAAAACUACUUUAUAAAAUGACAUCACUAAAAUUUUCAUUAAAUUUAUACCACAUUUUAUGGAUGAUAACUAAUUUUUAUGCAUUUCUAAUUCUUCUAGAUAAUUUUGUUCAUUUAAACAAAUUUGUGCUGAUUCAGCUGGAAGCGGGUCAAAUUUGAUCUGCAGUUGCCUCAUAGUUUGCUAUUUAUUUUUUCUAAAAAAAUUAUUUAGGUACAAAAGUAUCUAUUUGAUGAGAGAAAUAUAAAAAGUUUUCCAAGAUUUAACCACUAGCUAGGAACGGUCAUACCCGCCGUUUUGACCCCAUUUUGAAAUGUGCAUGAAAAAUUCGAAAAAUAAAUAAAUAGAAAACCUUUGCAUUGUGUCAUUAUAUGUGACCAAGUUAGCAGGUAAAAUAAUAAACUUGUAACAUGGAAAUUAUUUAAAAAAAGUAUUCUUAAAUAUGAGCUAUCAUGUGUGAAGAUUCAUGGUUUUCAAGCCAAAUGAUCAAUCUUAUGGCCACAUUCAUGGCAUAGUUUGUUCAAAUAAUCUCAUAUUGUGCACAAGGAUGCGUAUAGGAAUAGCAAACAAUGUUUCCAAAGGAAGUUUUCAUUUUCUUUGGAAGUAAAAUUUAUUUUUCAUUUUUCGAGUACCCAAAACGAGUUUUUUUGUGAAGAACCUACUCUAUAUUUAUUGCACAAUUGGACCAAAUUGUUUUUAUAACAUACUAGGACAUAUUUAAUGUAAAAUUGACCAAAUGGCUGGGUGUCAAAAGAUUUUAUUCACCUGUCGUGAAAAAGACAAUUUUUUGUCAAAUAAGUUGGAAGUGGGUCAAAUUUGAACUGCAGCUGCAUUAUAGUUUGUUCUUUAUUUUUCCAAAAAUCAUUUCUAGGUACACAAGUAUCUAUUUUAUCAUAGAAACAUAAUUUUUUUUCAAGAUUCAGCAACUAGCUAGGAACGGUAAUACCUGUUGUUUGGACCGCAUUUUGAAAUGAGCAAUAAAAAUUCAAUUUUUUUUGGAAAACCUUCGCAUUGUGUCAUUAUAUGUGAUAAAAUUAUGAGGUAAAAUAAUAAACUUGUAAUAUAGCAAUUAUUUUUAAAAUUUGUUCUUAGAAAUGAGCUAUCAUGUGUGAAGAUUCAUAGCUUUCAAGCCAAAUGGUAAAUCUUAUGGCCACAUUCAUGGCAGAGUUUGUUCAAAUAAUCUCAUAUUGUGCACACGGGUGCGUACUGGAAUGUCAAACAAUGUUGCCUAAGGAAGUUUUUAUUUUUUUUGGAUGGAAAAUUAAUUUUCCAUUUUUCGAGUACCCAAAAUGAGUUUUUUGUGAAGGACCUACCAUAUAUUUGUUGCAAAGUUGGACCAAAUCAUUUUUUCUAACAUUCUAGGAUAUAUUUAAUGUACAAUUGACGAAAUGGUUGGGUGUUAAAUGAUUUUAUCCACCUCUCGUGAAAGAAGACAAAUUUUCGUUGAAUCAACUAGAAGCGGGUCAAAUUUGAACUUCAGUUGCAUUAUAGUUUGCUCUUUAUUUUUCUAAAAAUCAUUUCUAGGUACACAAGUAUCUAUUUAAUCAGAGAAACACCAAUUUUUUCCAAGAUUCAACCACUAGGUAGGACGGUCAUACCCGCUGUUUUGACCGCAUUUUGAAAUGACCUUGAAAAAUUUAAAAAAAACAAAAAAUGGAAAACCUUUGCAUUGUGUCAUUAAAAAAACAAAAAAUGGAAAAAUAAUAAACUUGUAAUACGGCAAUUAUUUUUAAAAAGUGUUCUUAUAAAUGAGCUAUCAUGUGUGAAGAUUCAUGGCUUUCAAGCCAAAUGAUCAAUCUUAUGGCGACAUUCAUGACAUAGUUUGUUGAAAUGAUCUAAUAUUAUACACAAGGGUGCACAUUGGAAUGGCAAACAAUGUUGAUUAAUAAAGUUUUCAUUUUCCUUGUAUGUGAAAAUCAUUUUCCAUUUUUCAACUGCCCCAAAUGGUUUUUUUUUUGAAGGACCUACCAUAUAUUUGUUUCAAAAUUGGACCAAAUAAAUUUUCUAAAAUACUAGGCCAUAUUUAAUGUACAAUUGACAAAAUGGUUGGGUGUUAAAAGCUUUUAUCCACCUCUCAUGAAAAAGACAAAUUUAUGUCGAUUCAGUUAGAAGCGGGUUAAAUUUGAACUGCAGCUGCAUUAUAGUUUGCUCUUUAUUUUUCCCAAAAAUCAUCUAUAGGUACAUAAGUAUCUAUUUAAUCAGAAAUACAUGGUGUGGUGGCUUGACAUCGAGGUUUGGAUGGUGGUCGAGGGCCCCAACUCCAGAUCGCGUAAACUUGCAUGCCAGCCGCGUGGUCACCCCCUCACUGUUGCGUUGCCACGCGUUCCUUCACAAUGUGCCAAUCUGGACAAAAAAUGGUAAUUAAAACUGGGCUCACAUAGAUGAUUGGAUUGAGCUGCAAUUUGGAGGAGGAUGAUAAUUUGAGCACAUUAAGGCACUGUAAAAAUUUCAUAGAAUUUGGAUAAACAAAAAUUGUACUUCCUUCACAAUGCUCUCUAGUGAACAGAAUAUUGGUAAAAAUAUUGAGGGAAAUUGGCUGAAUUGAAUGAGCUAAAAUUUGGUGGAGUGAGGUUAUAUGAUUAGUUUCAUACUGUGGUAAAUUUUCAUCAACUAUAAAGCAAUAUAAAAUGUAGUUGCUUCACAAACUGAAAAUAUUACCAGAAAAAAGGUUGGAUGAUGAGCUCACAUGGAUUGUUAGAUGGGGAUCAAAUUCUGUGAAGAGCUAUGGUUUGGGAAUAAAGAAGAUGUGGAAAAAUUCAACUCAUUAGGAUAUUCCUAGCUAGUACUUCCUUCAAAAAGUUGUUAGUUGAACACAAACUUUGGAAAUUUGCUAAGAAAGAUUUACUAGGAAAAUGGUUACAAAAGUUUUCAUGAGGCAAUGAUUUGGAUAAGAAAGAGUGCCCACAAAAUUUGAGGGUAAUCAAAAAAAUAGAAAUAAGACUUCCGUCACAAAGUGCUAUUCUCAACAGAAUAGGAAAAUGAAUAUUGCUGAAUUAUUUUCGAACUAUGGAAGGAAGGGUUUUAACAUAUUUGAGGAAUAUAUGAUCCAAAGUAUUUAUGAGAAUUUUUUGAGAAUUUUUGGAACGACAGAAUAGUAGGUUGCUUCACAAACUAGGGAAAAAAUUGACACAUGGACAUGACACGUAUGCAAAACUGAUGAUGUGGCACCUAGCCGUAGCUAUGACCGUCUAUAUUGGUCAUAAUUAGCUACAAAUGAGGCAGUGGACCAACGCUAUCCGCUUUACGACCAUUUCCAAUAAGGAAGGUAUGACCUUUCUGAUGAAAAUGGUCGUUAGUUUUUAGGAUUUGCACCCCUCCGGACAUCUUACAACCAAUUGAUCUCAAAUGGUCAUAGAUUUACGACCAUUUCUGCGAGCGUCACUGUCAUAAGGUCGUUAGUUGACUUAUUUCUUGCAGUGUAGUAGUAUAAGUAAUAGUUGGCGAGACGACUUCACACAGACACAAUGAUGGAGAUCAUGGUGUCAUGCCGGUGACAAUGAUGAUCAUGCGAUGCCCCGAAGAUGGAGAUCAAAGGAGCAGGAUGAUAAUGGCCAUAUCAUGUCACUAUAUGAUUGCAUGUCAUGUUUAUCAUGUUUUUCAUUUUAUUGCUUAGAACGACGGUAGCAAAGAUAAGAUGAUCCCUCAUAAAAUUGCGAGAUGAGUAUUCCCCUAAGUGUGCACCGUUGCAAAGGAUCGUUGUCUCGAAGCACCACGUGAUGAUCGGGUGUGAUAGAUUCUAACGUUCGCAUACAACGGGUGUAAGCCAGAUUUACACACAAAAAACACUUAGGUUGACUCGACGAGCCUAGCAUGUACAGACAUGGCCUCAGAAUACGGGAGACCGAAAGGUCGAACAUGAUUCGUAUGGUUGAUACGAUCAGCAUGGAGAUGCUCACCAUUGAUGACUAGUCUGUCUCACGUGAUGAUCGGACACGGGCUAGUCGAUGUGGAUCAUGUUGCACUUGGAUGACUGGAGGGAUGUCGAUCUAAGUGGGAGUUCAUUAUAUAAUUUGAUUAGAUGAACUUAAUGAUCAUGAACUAAGUCUAAAAUUUUCUUUAUAAAUAUUGUAGAUCCAAUGGCCAACACAAGUGUGAACCUCAAUUUCAACGCGUUCCUAGAGAAAACGAAGUUGAAAGAUGAUGGAAGCAACUAUGCGGACUAGGUCCGUAACUUAAAGCUAAUCCUCAUUGCAUCCAAGAAGGCAUAUGUCCUUGAUGAGCCGCUAGGUGACCCUCCUGUUCCCGCGGCAGCCCAGGAUGUUCAGAACGCCUGACAGUCACAGAGUGAUGAUUACUCUCUAGUUCAGUGCGGCAUGUAAUACAGUUUAGAACCGGGGCUCCAAAUGCGUUUUGAGCAACACGGGGCAUAUGAGAUGUUCCAGGAGCUGAAACUAGUUUUUCAAGCUCAUGCCCGGGUCGAGAGAUAUGAGGUCUCCGACAAGUUCUUUAGCUGUAAAUGGAGGAGAAUAGUUUUGUCAGUGAGCACAUACUCAGAAUAUGAGGGUUGCACGGUCGUCUGACUCAACUGGGAUUUGAACUUUCGGAUGAUGCGGUCAUUGACAGAAUCCUCUAGUCGCUUCCACCUACUACAAGAGCUUUGUGAUGAACUACAACAUGAAGAGGAUGGAGAAGACCAUACCCGAGUUGUACUCGAUGCUGAAGUCAGCGGAGGUAGAAAUCAAGAAAGAACAUCAAGUGUUGAUUGUCAAUAGGACCACUAGUUUCAAGAAUGGAAAGGGUAAAAAGAAAUUCCAGAAGGACGACAAAGCUGUUGAUGUGCUUGGUAAACCAGUUACCGGGAAGAAGAAAAAUAAUGGACCCAAGCCUGAGACUGAGUGCUACUAUUGCAAGGGAACCGGUCACUAGAAGCGGAACUGCCCCAAGUACUUAGCAGAUAAGAAGGCCGACAACGUCAAAUGUAUAUAUGAUAUACAUGUUAUUGAUGUGUACCUUACCAGCGCUCAUAGUAGCUCCUGGGUAUUUGAUACCGGUGAUGUUGCUCACAUUUGCAACUCAAAAUAGGAACGUGGAUUAAGCUGAGGCUGGCUAAGGACGAGGUGACGAUGCGUGUCGGGAUUGGUUCCAAGGUCGAUGUGAUCGCCGUCGGCACGCUACAUCUACAUCUACCUUCGGGAUUAGUUUUAAACCUUAAAAAUUGUUAUUUAGUACCAGCUUUGAGCAUGAACAUUGUAUCGGGAUCUUGCUUAAUGCGAGAUGGCUACUCAUUUAAAUCUGAGAAUAAUGGUUGUUCCAUUUAUAUGACUGAUAUGUUUUAUGGUCAUGCCCCGCUGGUUAAUGGUUUAUUCUUGAUGAAUCUCGAACGUGAUGUUACACAUAUUCAUAGUGUGGGUACCAAAAGAUGUAAAGUUGAUAAUGAUAGUCCCACAUACUUGUGGCACUACCGCCUUGGUCAUAUCGGUGUCAAGCACAUGAAGAAACUCCAUACUGAUGGACUUUUGGAUUCUCUUGAUUUUGAAUCAUUUGACACAUGCGAACCUUGCCUCAUGGACAAGAUGACCAACACUCCAUUCUGAGGAACAAUGGAGCGAGCAACCAACUUAUUGGAAAUAAUACAUACCGAUGUAUGCGGUCUAAUGAGCAUUGAGGCUCGCAGUUGCUAUCAUUAUGUGCUCACCCUCGUUGAUGAUUUAAGCAGAUAUGGGUAUGUCUACUUAAUGAAACAUAAGUAUGAAACAUUUGAAAGGUUCAAAGAAUUUCAGAGUGAGGUUAAAAAUCAAUGUGACAAGAAAGUAAAGUGUCUAUGAUUUGAUCAUGGAGGAAAAUAUUUGAGUCACGAAUUUGGCACGCACUUACGAAAAUGUAGAAUUGUUUCACAACUCACGCCGCCUAGAACAUCUCAGCGUAAUGGUGUGUCCGAACGUCGUAAUCACACUCUAUUGGAUAUGGUGCGAUCUAAUUUCUCUUACUGAUUUACCGCUAUCAUUUUGGGGAUAUGCAUUGGAAACUGCAACAAUUACUUUAAAUAGGGCACCGUCUAAAUCCAUUGAGACGACACCGUAUGAAUUAUGGUUUGGAAAGAAACCUAAGAUUUCGUUUCUGAAAGUUUGGGAUUGCGAUGCUUAUGUGAAGAAACUUCAACCAGAGAAGCUCGAACCCAAAGCGGAAAAAUGCUUCUUCAUAGGAUACCCUAAGGAAACUAUUGGUUAUACCUUCUAUCUUAGAUCCGAAGAAAAAAUCUUUGUUGCCAAGAACGGAUCCUUUCUGGAGAAAGAGCUUCUCUCGAAGAAGUAAGUGGGAGGAAAAAAGAACUUGAUGAGGUAAUUGUACCUCCGCUCGAACCGGAAAGUAGCGCAGCGCAAGAAAAUGUUCCUAUGGUGCGUGCACCGAUUAGAUAGGAAGUUAAUGAUGAUGAUCAUGAAACUUCGGAUCAAGUUGCUACCGAACCUCGAAGGUCCACAAGGACACGUUCUGCACCAGAGUGGUACGUCAACCCUGUCAUGGAAAUCAUUUUGUUAGACAACAGUGAAUCUUCGAACUAUGAAGAAGCGAUGGCGGGCCCGGAUUCCAACAAAUGGCUUGAGGCCAUGAAAUCCAAGAUAGGAUCCAUGUAUGAGAACAAAGUAUGGACUUUGGUGGACUUGCUAGAUGAUUGACAAGCCACAGAAAAUAAAUGGAUCUUUAAGAAGAAGACUUGCGUAGAUGGUCAUGUGACCGUCUAUAAGGCUCGACUUUUCGGAAAGGGUUUUCGAUAAGUUCAAGGAGUUGACUACAAUGAGACUUUCUCACCUUUAGCGAUGCUGAAGUCCGUCCGAAUCAUGUUAGCAAUUGCCGCAUUUUAUGAUUAUGAAAUUUGGCAAAUGGACAUCAAAACGGCAUUCNNNNNNNNNNNNNNNNNNNNNNNNNNNNNNNNNNNNNNNNNNNNNNNGGNNNNNNNNNNNNNNNNNNNNNNNNNNNNNNNNNNNNNNNNNNNNNNNNNNNNNNNNNNNNNNNNNNNNNNNNNNNNNNNNNNNNNNNNNNNNNNNNNNNNAUGUAUCCACACAUGUAAAUGAGUCUUCAUUCAAUACAAUUAUAGCAUGGAUAAUAAACUAUUAUCUUGAUACAGGAAUUAUAAUAAUAACUAUAUUUAUUAUUGCCUCUAGGGCAUAAUUCCAACAGUCUCCCACUUGCACUAGAGUCAAUAAUCUAGCCCUCACAUCACCAUGUGAAUUACAUUGUAAUAAAUCUAACACCCAUACAGUUCUGAUGUCGAUCAUGUUUUGGCCGUGGAAGAGGUUUAGUCAGCGGGUCUGCUACAUUCAGAUCCGUGUGCACUUUGCAUAUAUUCACGUCCUCUUCCUCGACGUAGUCGCGGAUGAGGUUGAAGCGUCGUUUGAUGUGUCUGGUCUUCUUGUGAAACCGUGGUUCCUUUGCUAAGGCAAUGGCACCAGUGUUGUCACAGAACAAGGUUAUUUGAUCCAGUGCACUUGGCACCACUCCAAGAUCCGUCAUGAACUGCUUCAUCCAGACACCCUCCUUAGCCGCCUCCGAGGCAGCCAUGUACUCCGCUUCACAUGUAGAAUCUGCUACGACGCUUUGCUUGGAACUGCACCAGCUUACGGCACCCCCGUUAAGAAUAAAUACGUAUCCGGUUUGCGACUUAGAGUCGUCCGGAUCUGUGUCAAAGCUUGCAUCGACGUAACCUUUUACGGCGAGCUCUUCGUCACCUCCAUACACGAGAAACAUCUCCUUAGUCCUUUUCAGGUACUUCAGGAUAUUCUUGAUCGCUGUCCAGUGAUCCACUCCUGGAUUACUCUGGAACCUACCNNNNNNNNNNNNNNNNNNNNNNNNNNNNNNNNNNNNNNNNNNNNNNNNNNNNNNNNNNNNNNNNNNNNNNNNNNNNNNNNNNNNNNNNNNNNNNNNNNNNUGGCCCCGCACAGUACUCAGUUUUGGACCAGCACCAUCAGCACUAGCCCUACCUGUAUUAUGUAGAAUUACUCCUCGGGUAGCGCUAACUCCCUAUGCAUUUCAAUUUAACAGAAUUAUUAUGUUGGGAAAAUGUAGUACCAAUGUUGGGCCUUGCCAGACGAGCUUUAAUCUAAAACGAAUUAUCAAGGGGGUCCCCAUAACAACCCCGAUCGUGUUAGGAGCGCUCAAUUAUGGAACAUAACACCGGUAGCCGAAGCUAAGGGGGCAAAGGUGGAACAAAACACGAGGCUAGAAAGGCNNNNNNNNNNNNNNNNNNNNNNNNNNNNNNNNNNNNNNNNNNNNNNNNNNNNNNNNNNNNNNNNNNNNNNNNNNNNNNNNNNNNNNNNNNNNNNNNNNNNNNNNNNNNNNNNNNNNNNNNNNNNNNNNNNNNNNNNNNNNNNNNNNNCUAGAAACGCUACACAGGGUUAAGCAAGCGUAACAUAGCCAAUCAGUGGUUUGCUAGGUUGAACAGGUUGAAGGUUUUCAUGGCAUUGUUGAGAGGCUGAUAUUUAACAUGUGGUAGGCAACGAGACAUGAACGAUAGAAACGGUAAACUAGCAUGGCAAUGAUAGUAAUGGUAUCUGGGGAAAUGGUCAUCUUUCCUGAGAUCCCGCUUGGAAGAAGAAUGACUCCAUGAAGCAGACGAACCGACGUAGUCGAACGGGUCCAAGAAUGACUCCGUGAAGCAGACGAACCGACGUAGUCGAACGAGUCCUCACAAUCCGGCACGUUGCAGAACUCUAUCGAGACGAAGCAAACCGGAAACACAAAUCAACACACGGAAUUCACCACACGAUGUACAACACAUAUGAUGCAUGAGCAGCUGAAUACAUGCAAGUCACGGCAUGACAAUUCACACAAUCAAACACUACACAUUAAGUGAAGUUCAAUAUGCAACGAGUUGCAUAUUGACGAAACUCCACAUUAAUUAUUUACUUCUAUCCCGAUUAGAUACACGACAAUAUUAAAUGNNNNNNNNNNNNNNNNNNNNNNNNNNNNNNNNNNNNNNNNNNNNNNNNNNNNNNNNNNNNNNNNNNNNNNNNNNNNNNNNNNNNNNNNNNNNNNNNNNNNAGUUGAAUCGGAUUUGACCGAGGAGGUCCUUGGAUGAGGUUAAAUAGAAAAUCAUAUAUCUCCGUUGUGGUGUUUGCGUAAGUAAGAUGUGAUCCUACUAGAAACCCAUGGUCACCACGUAAAACAUGCAACAACAAAAUUAGAGGACGUCUAACUUGUUUUUGCAGGGUAUGCUUGUGAUGUGAUAUGGCAACGAUGUGAUGUGAUGUAUUGGAUGUAUGAGAUGAUCAUGUUGUAAUAGAAAAUAUCGACUUGCACGUCGAUGGUACGGCAACCGGCAGGAGCCAUAGGGUUUUCUUUAUACUAACGUUUGUGCUUGCAGAUGCGUUUACUAUUUUGCUAGGAUGUAGCUUUAGUAGUAAUAGCAUGAGUAGCACGACAACCCCGAUGGCAACACGUUGAUGGAGAUCAUGGUGUGGCGCCGGUGACAAGAAGAUCAUGCCGGUGCUUUGGUGAUGGAGAUCAAGGAGCACAUGAUGAUGGCCAUAUCAUGUCACUUAUGAAUUGCAUGUGAUGUUAAUCCUUUUAUGCACCUUAUCUUUCUUAGAACGACGGUAGCAUUAUGAGGUGAUCUCUCACUAAAAUUUCAAGACGAAAUUGUGUUCUCCCCGACUGUGCACCAUUGCGACAGUUCGUCGUUUCGAGACACCACGUGAUGAUCGGGUGUGAUAGACUCAACGUUCACAUACAAUGGGUGCAAAACAGUUGCGCACGCGGAACACUCGGGUUAAGCUUGACGAGCCUAGCAUGUGCAGACAUGGCCUCGGAACACAUGAGACCGAAAGGUCGAGCAUGAAUCGUAUAGUUGAUACGAUUAGCAUAGAGAUGCUUACCACUGAAACUAUUCUCGACUCACGUGAUGAUCGGACUUGAGAUAGUGGAUUUGGAUCAUGUACCACUCAAAUGACUAGAGAGAUGUACUUUUUGAGUGGGAGUUCUUAAGUAAUAUGAUUAAUUGAAAUAAUUGUCAUGAACAUAGUCUAAUGGUCUUUGCGAAUCACGAUGUAGCUUGCGCUAUAGCUCUACUGUUUUUAUAUGUUCCUAGAGAAAAUUUAGUUGAAAAUUGAUAGUAGCAAACUUUGCAGACUGAGUCUGUAAAACCGAGGAUUGUACUCGUUGCUACGCAGAAGGCUUAUGUCCUUAAUGCACCACUCGGUGUGCUGCACCUCGAGCGUGAUCUGUGGAUGCUGUGAACAUCCGACAUAUACGUUUCUGAUGACUACACGAUAGUUCAGUGCAAAAUACUUAAUGGCUUAGAAGCAAGGCACCGAAAACGUUUUAAAAGUCGUGGAACAUAAGUGAUGUUCUAAAGAGAUGAAAUUGUGAUUUCAUGCUUGUGCCCUUGUUAAGAGGUACAAGACCUCCGACAAGAUUCUUUGUCCACAAAGUAAAGGAGAAAGGCUCAUUCGUUGAGCGUGUGCUCAGAUUGUCUGAGUACGACAAUCACUUUAAUCAAGUGGGAGUUAAUCUUCCAGAUGAGAUAGUGAUGGUUCUCCAAAGUCACUGCCACCAAGCUGUGAGAGCUUCGUGAUGAACUAUAACAUAUCAAGGAUAGAUACAAUGAUCCUUGAGCGAUUCGCGAUGUUUGACACUGCGAAAGUAGAAAUCAAGAAGGAGCAUCAAUAGUUGAUGGUUAGUAAAACCACUAAGUUUCAAGAAAGGCGAGGGCUAGAAGGGAUACUUCGUGAAACGGCAAAACAGUUGCUGCGCUAAUGAAGAGACCCAAGAUUAAACCCAAACCCGAGACUAAGUGCUUCUGUAAUGAGGGGAACAGUCACUAAGGCGGAGAAACUCUAGAUACUUGGUAGAUAAGUGGGCUGGCAAAAGUCGAAAGAAGUAUAUUUGAUAUACAUGAUGUUGAUGUGUACUUUACUAGUACUCCUAGUAGCAUGAGGGUAUUGGAUACCAGUUCGGUUGCUAAGUGAUUAGUAACACGAAAUGAAAGCUACGACAUAAAUGGAGACUAGCUAAAGGCGAGGUGACGAUACGUGUUGGAAGUGUUUCCAAGGUUGAUAUGAUCAAACGUCGCACGCUCCCUCUACCAUCGGGAUUGGUGUUAUACCUAAAUAAUCGUUAUUUGGUGCUUGUGUUAAGCAUGAACAUGAUUGGAUCGUGUUUGUUGCAAUACGAUUAUUCAUUUAAAGAGAAUAAUGGUUACUCUAUUUGCUUGAAUAAUCACCUUCAGUGGUUUAUUGAAUCUCGAUCGUAGUGUUACACAUGUUCAUGAUAUUGGUGCCAAAAGAUACGAGUUAAUGAUGAUAGUACCACUUACUUGUGGCACUGUCGCUUGAGUCAUGUUAGUAUAAAUUGCAUGAAGAGGCUCCAUGCUGAUGGAUCUUUGUACUCACCUGAUUUCGAAUCACUAGUGACAUGCAAAUCAUACCACAUGAGCAAGGCCUUGUUUUCAUUGAGAUGAAACAAGAUAGUAACUUGUUGGAAGUGAUACAUUUUGAUGUAUGCAGUCCAAUGGGUGCUGAGGCACGCACUGGAUAUCAUUAUGUUCUUACUUCAAUGAUGAUUUGAGUAGAUACUAGAGUAUUUACUUAAUGAAUCACAAGUCUGAAAUAUUGAAAAGUUCAAUUCUGUUUCGGAGUGAAGUUCGUCGUAACAAGAGGAUAAACUGUCUACGAUAUGAUCAUAGAAAUGAAUAUCUGAGUUACGAGUUUUGGUACGCAGUUAAGACAAUGUGGAAAUUGUUUCGCAGUUCAUGCCACCUGGAACAUCAUAGUGUGAUGAUGUGUCUGAACAUCAUAGCCACGCACUAUUUGGUACGGUGCACACUAAGAUGUCUCUUAUCGAAUUACCACUAUCGUUUAUGGGUUAUGCAUUAGAGACAACCGCAUUCACUUUAAAUAGGGCACCACGUAUUUCCGUUGAGAUGACACAGUAAAGACUGAGGUUUAGAGAAAUCUAAACUGUCGUUUCUUGAAAGUUUGGGGCUUCGACACUUAUGUGAAAAAGUUUCAGUCUGAUAAGCUCGAACCCAAAGCGGAUAAAUGCAUCUUCAUAGGAUAUCCAAAACAGUUGGGUACAUCUCCUAUCUCAGAUCCGAAAGCAAAGUGUUUGUUUCUAGAAACGGAUCCUUUCUCGAGGAAAGGUUUCUCUCGAAAGAAUUGAGUGGGAGGGUAGUAGGACUUGAUGAGGUUAUUGAACCAUCACUUCAACCAGUGUGUAGCAGGGCUCAAGAAGUUGUUCCCGUGGUGCCUACACCAAUUGAAGUGGAAGCUGAUGAUGGUGAUCAUCGAGCAUCGGAUCAAGUUACUACAAGUCUCGUAGGUUGACAAGGUCGCGUACUACUACAGAGUGGUAUGGUAACCCUGUCUUGGAGGUCAUGUUGUUGAGCAACAGUGAACCUACGAGUUAUGGAGAAAGCGAUGGUGGGCCCGGAUUCCGACAAAUGGCUGGAAGCCAUGAAAUCCGAGAGAGGAUCCAUGUAUGAAAACAAAGUGUAGACUUUGGAAGAACUACUUGAUGGUCAGAGGACUAUUGAGUAAAGAUGGAUCUUUAAAGGAAGGCAGACGAUGAUGGUGAUAAAUCACUAUUAAGAAAAGCUCGACUUGUCGCAAAGAUGUUUUCGACAAGAUCAAACAGUUGACUAUGAUGAGACUUUCUCACUCGUAGCGAUGCUAAAGGUCUGUUAGAAUUAUGUUAGUUGUUGAUGCAUUAUUUAUGCAAUAUUGCACGUAGGAUGUCAAAACAUUGUUUUCUCGACGGUUUCCUUGAGCAAACAUUGUAUGUGAUACAACCAGAAGGUUUUGUCGAUCCUAAAGAUACUAGCAAGUAUGCAAGCUCCAGUGAUCCUUCAAUGGACUGGUGCAAGCAUCUCGGAGUUGGAAUAUACACUUUGAUGAGAUGAUCAAAGAUUUUGGGUGUGUACAAGGUUUAUGAGAAACUUGUAUUUCCAAAGAAGUGAGUGGGAGCACUAUAGAAUUUCUGAUAAGUAUAUGUGGUUGACAUAUUGUGGAUCAGAAGUAAUGUAGAAUUUCUGUAAAGCAUACAAGGUUGUUUGAAAGGAGUUUUUCAAAGGAAUACCUGGAUUACGCUACUUGAACGUUGAGCAUCAAAGAUCUAUGGAGAUAGAUCGAAAGCGCUUAAUAGAAGUUUCAACAAGAUGCAUGCCUUGACAAGUUUUUGAAGGAGUUCAAAAUAGAUCAGUAAAGAAGGAGUUCUUGGUUGCGUUGUAAGGUGUGAAUUUGAGUAAGACUCAAAACCCGACCACGGCAGAAUAAAGAGAAUAUACGAAGGUCGUCUUCUAUGCCUUAGCCGUAGAAUCUAAAGUAUGCCAUGCUGUGUACCGCACCUGAUGUGUGCCUUGACUCAAAGUAUGUUGAGAGGUACAGAGAGUGAUCCAUGAUUGAAUCACUAGCAGCGGUCAAAAUUUAUCCUUAGUAACAAAUGGACUAAGGAAUUUUUCUCGAUUAUGGAGGUGGUUAAAUAGUUCGUCGUAAAGGGUUACGUCGAUGCAAGCUUUGACACUAAUCCGAAUAACUAUGAGUAGUGAAACGGAUUCAUAUAGUACAGUAGAUAUUUGGAGCAUUUCCGAAUAGCACGUAGUAGCACCAUCUAUAAGAUGACAUAAAGAUUUGUAAAGAACGCACGGAUCUGAAAGUUUCAGAACCGUUGACUAAAACCUCUCUCACGAGGAAGACGUGAUCAGACCCCAUAACUAUAUGGGUGUUGGAUUCGUUGGAAUCACAUGGUGAUGUGAACUAGAUUAUUGACUCUAGUGCAAGUGGGAGACUGNNNNNNNNNNNNNNNNNNNNNNNNNNNNNNNNNNNNNNNNNNNNNNNNNNNNNNNNNNNNNNNNNNNNNNNNNNNNNNNNNNNNNNNNNNNNNNNNNNNNAUGCCUAGAAUGUAAGCAGCUUCUCCUAGGUCCUUCAUAGAGAAACUCUUAUUCAAGUAAUCCUUUAUGCUCCCUAAAAACUCCACGUUGUUUCCAAUCAGCAAUAUGUCAUCCACAUAUAAUAUUAGAAACGCCACAUAGCUCCCACUCACUUUCUUGUAAAUACAAGAUUCUCCAACCACUUAUAUAAACCCAAAUGCUUUGAUCACCUCAUCAAAGCGUUUGUUCCAACUCCGAGAUGCUUGCACCAGUCCAUAAAUGGAUUGCUGGAGCUUGCACACCUUGUUAGCAUUCUUAGGAUCGACAAAACCUUCAGGUUGUAUCAUAUACAACUCUUCCUUAAGGAAACCGUUAAGGAACGCCGUUUUGACAUCCAUCUGCCAGAUCUCAUAAUCGAAAAAUGCAGCUAUUGCUAACAUGAUUCUGACGGAUUUAAGCAUCGCUACGGGUGAGAAUGUCUCAUCGUAGUCAACUCCUUGAACUUGUGAAAAACCCUUUGCCACAAGUCGAGGUUUAUAAACGGUCACAUUGCCGUCAGCGUCCGUCUUCCUCUUAAAGAUCCAUUUGUUCUGAAUAGCCUUGCGGCCCUCAGGUAGUACCUCCAAAGUCCACACUUUGUUCUCAUACAUGGAUCAUAUCUUGGAUUUCAUGGCUUCUAGCCAUUUGUUGUAAUCUGGGCCCACCAUUGCUUCUUCAUAAUUCGCAGGUUCAUUGUUGUCUAACAACAUGAUUGAUAAGACGGGAUUACCGUACCACUCUGGAGCAGCGCGUGAUCUCGUCGACCUGCGUGGUUCAACAGAAACUUGAACGGGAGUUUCAUGAUCAUCAUCAUUAACUUCCUCCUCAACCGGCGUCGCAACGACAGAGGUUUCCCCUUGCCCUGCGCCACCAUCCAGAGGGAUGAGAGGUUCGACAACCUCGUCAAGUUCUAUCUUCCUCCCACUCAAUUCUCUCGAGAGAAACUCCUUCUCGAGAAAAGCUCCGUUUUUAGCAACAAACACUUUGCCCUCGGAUUUGAGAUAGAAGGUGUACCCAACUGUCUCUUUUGGGUAACCUAUGAAGACGCACCUUUCUGCUUUGGGUUCCAGCUUUUCAGGCUGAAGCUUUUUGACAUAAGCAUCACAUCCCGAAACUUUAAGAAACGACAACUUUGGCCUUUUUCCAUACCACAGUUCGUAUGGUGUCGUCUUCAACGGAUUUUGAUGGUGCCCUAUUUAAAGUGAAUGUAGCUGUUUCUAAUGCAUAACCCCAAAAUGAUAACGGCAAAUCGGUAAGAGACAUCAUAGAUUGCACCAUCUCUAGUAAAGUACGAUUACGACGUUCGGACACACCAUUACGCUGUGGUGUUCCAGGCGGUGUCAACUGUGAAACAAUUCCACAUUGUCUUAAGUGAGCACCAAACUCGAAACUCAGAUAUUCACCCCCACGAUCAGACCGUAGGAACUUGAUCUUCUUGUUACGAUGAUUUUCCACUUCACUCUGAAAUUGCUUGAACUUUUCAAAUGUUUCAGACUUGUGCUUCAUCAAGUAGACAUAACCAUAUCUACUCAAAUUGUCAGUGAAGGUGAGAAAAUAACGAUAUCCGCCGCGCGCCUCUACGCUCAUCGGACCACACACAUCUGUAUGUAUGAUUUCCAACAAGUCACUUGCACGCUCCAUAGUUCCGGAGAAUGGAGUCUUAGUCAUCUUGCCCAUGAGGCAUGUUCGCACGUGUCAAGUGAAUCAAAGUCAAGUGACUCCAAAAGUCCAUCAGCAUGGAGUUUCUUCAUGCGUUUUAUACCAAUAUGACCUAAGCGGCAGUGCCACCAAAAUAUGGCGCUAUCAUUGUUAACUCUAACCCUUUUGGUCUCAAUGUUAUGUAUAUGUGUAUCGCUAUCAAGAUUCAAUAUGAACAAUCCUCUCACAUUAGGUGCAUGACCAUAAAAGAUGUUACUCAUAGAAAUAGAACAACCAUUAUUCUCUGACUUAAAAGAGUAAUCGUCUCGCAAUAAACAAGAUCCAGAUAUAAUGUUCAUGCUCAACGCAGGCACUAAAUAACAAUGAUUUAAGUUCAUCACUAAUCCUGAUGGUAACUGAAGUGAAACUGUGCCGACGGCGAUUGCAUCAACCUUGGAACCAUUUCCUACGUGCAUCGUCACUUCAUCUUUCGCCAGCCUUCGUCUAUUCCGUAGUUCCUGUUUCGAGUUGCAAAUAUGAGCAACAGAACCGGUAUCGAAUACCCAGGCACUACUACGAGAGCCGGUUAAGUACACAUCAAUAACAUGUAUAUCAAAUAUACCUGAUUUUUCUUUGGCCGCCUUCUUAUCUGCCAGAUACUUGGGGCAAUUGCGCUUCCAGUGACCCAUACCCUUGCAAUAGUAACACUCCGUUUCAGGCUUAGGUCCAGCUUUGGGUUUCUUCGACGGAUUGGCAAUAGGCUUGCCGCUCUUCUUUGAAUUACCCCUCUUGCCUUUGCCAUUUCUCUUGAAACUAGUGGUCUUAUUCACCAUCAACACUUGAUGCUCUUUACGGAGUUUAGACUCUGCGACUUUCAACAUCGCAAACAACUCGCCGGGAGACUUGUUCAUCCCUUGCAUGUUGUAGUUCAACACAAAGCCUUUAUAGCUUGGCGGCGGUGAUUGAAGGACUCUGUCAGUGAUAACCUCUUGCGGGAGUUCAAUCCCCAGCUCAGCUAGACGGUUUGAGUACCCACACAUUUUGAGCACAUGUUCACUAACAGACGAGUUUUCCUCCAUCUUGCAAGCAUAGAAUUUAUCGGAGGUCUCAUACCUCUCGAUUCGGGCGUUCUUCUAAAAGAUAAACUUCAACUCCUGGAACAUCUCAAAUGCUCCAUGACGCUCAAAGCGACGUUGAAGUCCCGGUUCUAAGCCAUACAAGACUGCACAUUGAACUAUUGAGUAGUCCUCCUUACGUGCUAACCAAGCGUUCUUAACAUCCUAAUCAGCCGUAGCGGGUGGUUCAUCUCCUAGCGCAGCAUUAAGGACAUAAUCCUUCUUCCCAGCUUGUAAGAUUAGCUUAAGAUUACGAGCCCAGUCUACAAAGUUGCUUCCAUCAUCUUUCAACUUAGCUUUCUCUAGGAACGUAUUAAAAUUCAGGGUGACAGUCGCGUGAGCCAUGAUAUACAACACGAAUAUAUUCAAAGUGGACUUAGACUAUGUUCAAGAUAAUUAGAGUUUAACUUAAUCAAAUUAUUUGCUAAACUUCCACUCAAAAAGUACAUCUCUCUAGUCAUUUGAGUGGUUCAUGAUCCACUUACACUAGCUCAAGUCCGAUCAUCACGUGAGUUGAGUAUAGUUUCAGUGGUAAGCAUCCCUAUGCUAAUCAUAUCAUCUAUAUGAUUCAUGAUCGACCUUCCGGUCUCAUGUGUUCCGAGGCCAUGUCUGCACAUGCUAGGCUCGUCANNNNNNNNNNNNNNNNNNNNNNNNNNNNNNNNNNNNNNNNNNNNNNNNNNNNNNNNNNNNNNNNNNNNNNNNNNNNNNNNNNNNNNNNNNNNNNNNNNNNGGAUCAUGAAACUUCGGAUCAAGUUGCUACCGAACCUCGAAGGUCCACAAGGACACGUUCUGCACCAGAGUGGUACGUCAACCCUGUCAUGGAAAUCAUUUUGUUAGACAACAGUGAAUCUUCGAACUAUGAAGAAGCGAUGGCGGGCCCGGAUUCCAACAAAUGGCUUGAGGCCAUGAAAUCCAAGAUAGGAUCCAUGUAUGAGAACAAAGUAUGGACUUUGGUGGACUUGCUAGAUGAUUGACAAGCCACAGAAAAUAAAUGGAUCUUUAAGAAGAAGACUUGCGUAGAUGGUCAUGUGACCGUCUAUAAGGCUCGACUUUUCGGAAAGGGUUUUCGAUAAGUUCAAGGAGUUGACUACAAUGAGACUUUCUCACCUUUAGCGAUGCUGAAGUCCGUCCGAAUCAUGUUAGCAAUUGCCGCAUUUUAUGAUUAUGAAAUUUGGCAAAUGGACAUCAAAACGGCAUUCNNNNNNNNNNNNNNNNNNNNCAUUCCUUAAUGGUUUCCUUAAGGAAGAAUUGUAUAUGAUGCAGCCGGAAGGUUUUGUCGAUCCUAAAAGUGUUGACAAGGUAUGCAAGCUCCAGCGCUCUGCUACUGCAACAAAAGACCUUCCAACGGCGCCAGAAACAAGCAUGCUGAUGGGAGACUAUUCUUGUCUUGAUACUCCUCAGCAACGGCACCAGGAAUCCUUCUGCUACGGCUACGCCUUUAGGGACUUCCUUGGCAAAUAUGCAAAGGAUUCCCCCGUGGCCUUGGAGCCUUGCGUUGGUGUUCCCUCGAAGCAGAAAGGGUGAUGUAGCACAGCGGCGGUAAGUAUUUCCCUCAGUUUAGAGAACCAAGGUAUCGAUCCAGUGAAGGAAUGUCACAAGUACCUGCACAAACACAAAG
rnacentral:lncRNA from 1 species